GGUCUGUGAUGAGAAAUAGCCAAAUCUGACCACCAGAAGAUAAAACUAAUCUUCCAGGUGCUAUGAUUUGUACACAAUUCUGAGA
ensembl:snoRNA